AUUGAUAAAGAAAAUUGUACAUAAGUUGUUAUUCUAUCGAUUUUUCUUAGUUCAUAGGCAAUGAGAAAGUGAAAAAUAUUAGUAUUUUUCUCUCCCUCGGAUGACGCUUAUACCCAUAGUAUUUUAAACCCUAAUAGUAACACAUAUAACUCCUGGCUUUUAACUAAAUUAUGCUACAUAUUCAUGCGGCUGGUACUAUGAUUGAGUCGUCGUCAUCAUAAUCAUCGUCACCAUCGCCUUCAUUUCUCCCACAUAUGUGGAGACGAAUUAUGGCAUCAGCGUCACUAUUUGUCAACUUGGGGUAACCCAUCAGCUUCACAGCACCAAAAAUCACCAUUUGAUAUAUCUCGAUCUAGAGAAUGAGGCGAUACUUGAAGUGUAUUAGGGUUAGAACAACAGAAUUUCCCCAUUUAUAGCUUCAAAAACCAAUAACAUUUCUGAUUUUUAGCCCAUUUGGGAUUUGCAU
rnacentral:lncRNA from 1 species